rnacentral:lncRNA from 1 species
CAGUUUGCCGUCUGAUCGCUCGCCUGGAACCAGCGCAGGCCUUCGCUCGGUCAGCGGCCGCGCACAGCUGACUCUACAGCCAACGGCAACCUGGGCGCUCGGUUCCAUCGCGGCGGCCAAACAGAGGCCUCGGGGCCGUCGAUCCUGACUGAAGCGAUUUUACCCACCAGGGGAAUCUGACAAUGUCUGGAGACAUAUUUGGCACUGGAUACAUACCUACCAGACAGGAGCAGCUGAACAAAGUUUAAUCAAAGGGACCAUUGACAAAGACGUGGCAGGAAGAAGGGAAACUAACAACAUGGGCGAAGUGCCUCAGAGCCAGCAGCCGCUGGAAGCCACGACUCCUCCUGGGAGCAAGACUUUUUAUUGGAGCUGAACCACUCGAAGAAGCGUCUCAGAACAUUCCAAGAGCGUUCCUGGCUCCAUAGGAAGACCUGCGGCCAAGCUCCCGCGACACAGCUGGGAACCAGCUCGUCGCCUUUCCCGCAGCAUCCACCACGCCCACUUACAUGUCACCUUGACUUUCGAAGCAAAGACUAGAGAGGAGGGACAGGUUUCCAGCAGUCGAAGAAAACACGGAGAAACAGGAUCAACGGCAGUGACACUGAUCUCCUAUGGUUUCAGCUCCAGGAGCAUCGCCAGGUGGGCAGGCUCCAGCAGAGGGGAGUGGAGGGCCGGGACCGGGUCUGCAUGGGGACCCAAAGGCGGGACGGAGACCCGAGGGGCGCUAGAGGCUCCAGGAGACCCUGCCCAGCUCUGUCAUCAGAAGCUGGAGGUGUAGGGGUCUGAGCUGCAUCACCAAACUGGAGACCCUGGAGGCAGAGAGGCCCGGGCAGGGAGGAGCCCAGUGCGGCUCAGGAGGAAGAGGAGGCAGCUCGACAGAGGCCCAAGGAAACCCUCUCAGACG